rnacentral:rRNA from 1 species
UGCAGUCGAGCGAACCAGUGGGAGCUUGCUCCCUGAGGUUAGCGGCGGACGGGUGAGUAACACGUGGGUAACCUGCCUGUAAGAUUGGGAUAACUCCGGGAAACCGGAGCUAAUACCGGAUAACAUUUUGAACCGCAUGGUUCAAAAUUGAAAGGCGGCUUUUAGCUGUCACUUACAGAUGGACCCGCGGCGCAUUAGCUAGUUGGUGAGGUAAUGGCUCACCAAGGCAACGAUGCGUAGCCGACCUGAGAGGGUGAUCGGCCACACUGGGACUGAGACACGGCCCAGACUCCUACGGGAGGCAGCAGUAGGGAAUCUUCCGCAAUGGACGAAAGUCUGACGGAGCAACGCCGCGUGAACGAUGAAGGCCUUCGGGUCGUAAAGUUCUGUUGUUAGGGAAGAACAAGUACCAGAGUAACUGCUGGUACCUUGACGGUACCUAACCAGAAAGCCACGGCUAACUACGUGCCAGCAGCCGCGGUAAUACGUAGGUGGCAAGCGUUGUCCGGAAUUAUUGGGCGUAAAGCGCUCGCAGGCGGUUUCUUAAGUCUGAUGUGAAAGCCCACGGCUCAACCGUGGAGGGUCAUUGGAAACUGGGGAACUUGAGUGCAGAAGAGGAGAGUGGAAUUCCACGUGUAGCGGUGAAAUGCGUAGAGAUGUGGAGGAACACCAGUGGCGAAGGCGACUCUCUGGUCUGUAACUGACGCUGAGGAGCGAAAGCGUGGGGAGCGAACAGGAUUAGAUACCCUGGUAGUCCACGCCGUAAACGAUGAGUGCUAAGUGUUA